AGGACGAACGCUGGCGGCGUGCUUAACACAUGCAAGUCGAGCGGAAAGGCCCUUCGGGGUACUCGAGCGGCGAACGGGUGAGUAACACGUGAGCAAUCUGCCCUUAGCUUCGGGAUAGCUCCGGGAAACCGGAUUAAUACCGGAUAUGACUAUGGCUGACAUCAGCCACGGUGGAAAGUUUUUCGGCUAGGGAUGAGCUCGCGGCCUAUCAGCUAGUUGGUGGGGUAACGGCCUACCAAGGCGACG
rnacentral:rRNA from 1 species